GACUGCUCUUCUUGGAUGAGUUGCGAACGGGUGAGUAACGCGUAGGUAACCUGCCUUGUAGCGGGGGAUAACUAUUGGAAACGAUAGCUAAUACCGCAUAACAAUGGAUGACACAUGUCAUUUAUUUGAAAGGGGCAAUUGCUCCACUACAAGAUGGACCUGCGUUGUAUUAGCUAGUAGGUGAGGUAACGGCUCACCUAGGCGACGAUACAUAGCCGACCUGAGAGGGUGAUCGGCCACACUGGGACUGAGACACGGCCCAGACUCCUACGGGAGGCAGCAGUAGGGAAUCUUCGGCAAUGGGGGCAACCCUGACCGAGCAACGCCGCGUGAGUGAAGAAGGUUUUCGGAUCGUAAAGCUCUGUUGUAAGUCAAGAACGAGUGUGAGAGUGGAAAGUUCACACUGUGACGGUAGCUUACCAGAAAGGGACGGCUAACUACGUGCCAGCAGCCGCGGUAAUACGUAGGUCCCGAGCGUUGUCCGGAUUUAUUGGGCGUAAAGCGAGCGCAGGCGGUUUGAUAAGUCUGAAGUUAAAGGCUGUGGCUCAACCAUAGUUCGCUUUGGAAACUGUCAAACUUGAGUGCAGAAGGGGAGAGUGGAAUUCCAUGUGUAGCGGUGAAAUGCGUAGAUAUAUGGAGGAACACCGGUGGCGAAAGCGGCUCUCUGGUCUGUAACUGACGCUGAGGCUCGAAAGCGUGGGGAGCGAACAGGAUUAGAUACCCUGGUAGUCCACGCCGUAAACGAUGAGUGCUAGGUGUUGGAUCCUUUCCGGGAUUCAGUGCCGCAGCUAACGCAUUAAGCACUCCGCCUGGGGAGUACGACCGCAAGGUUGAAACUCAAAGGAAUUGACGGGGGCCCGCACAAGCGGUGGAGCAUGUGGUUUAAUUCGAAGCAACGCGAAGAACCUUACCAGGUCUUGACAUCCCGAUGCUAUUUCUAGAGAUAGAAAGUUACUUCGGUACAUCGGUGACAGGUGGUGCAUGGUUGUCGUCAGCUCGUGUCGUGAGAUGUUGGGUUAAGUCCCGCAACGAGCGCAACCCCUAUUGUUAGUUGCCAUCAUUCAGUUGGGCACUCUAGCGAGACUGCCGGUAAUAAACCGGAGGAAGGUGGGGAUGACGUCAAAUCAUCAUGCCCCUUAUGACCUGGGCUACACACGUGCUACAAUGGUUGGUACAACGAGUUGCGAGUCGGUGACGGCAAGCUAAUCUCUUAAAGCCAAUCUCAGUUCGGAUUGUAGGCUGCAACUCGCCUACAUGAAGUCGGAAUCGCUAGUAAUCGCGGAUCAGCACGCCGCGUA
rnacentral:rRNA from 1 species